GUAGCAAGCCUUCAUCGAGCAAGUCUGUCUGCACCAUCGCCAUAGCAUCUGCUCAUUUCAUGUCUCUGCCACAAUUUGAUCAGUGGAGCUUAGAUUGGCUGUUCAAAUAAACUUUAAAAAAAUCUACUCAAGUAAGAAGAAGGAUAAGUUGUCUCAAAAACUUGAUCAAGGGUUUCAUACCUGGGUACUCAUAUUAAAGAUAGCAUAUAUGGACUACUCCCCAAAAGAUAAUCAAAUGAAGGCUAAGACUCAAAACCAAGACCAGUGGACCCUUCCUUUCUUUUUCUAAUUGAACACAGUGGCAAAUCCACAAAGUUGUCACAUUUCAAUGAGACAAUUAGUAAUUUGCUUCAUUCUGGUUCCCAUUCAACACACCAACUCCCAAAGUCUGUUUAAGUCCUUAGAAUUUGUUUUAAGGAAAAGAUUUCUUCCUUCUAGUUCAACCAACACGAAAGUCCUAGUGAUAAGUUUUGCUCUUAAAGAAGCUAUAUUUGAAUUUGGAAAAUACCAUGGAAGGCCCUCAAGUUUGUGGAUCAACAUUUCUCAUUUCAUAUUAUAUUUAUUGCUUGAAAGUCCUAUUCUUUAACCAUUAACAUUUUUUAGAUUUUUCAAGAAGGUAUUUAUAAUCUUGAAAAUUCUAGAAGACUUAGGUAGGUAAAUUAUACUCUAAGGAAUAAAGAGAAGGCUCUGAGCAAUAAUACGUAAGUCCACAUUGAUUUCUUGAAACUAUAAUAUCAUAAGAUUAGGAUGAAAAUUUUCCAGUUUAAAGAUAUUUUGAGUGGUUUCAUUUCAGUCUCUAAAUUCAAAGCCACCACCAGCUAGGAUGGUUGCAGUAUGUGUUGACAAUGAGCUUGACGAUACUGAUUCACAGCAUAGAUAUUAGAGGAGGGGGGAUGUCACCAGCUAGCAAUUUAAUGUGGCCCCCAAAACAGUAUUCUGUGGAAUUUUAAAUUAACUGCAGGAUUAAAUGUUACUGAUUUGGGAAAUCCCCAUUUUCCAGCUCGUAGUUUGAACUGGGUCUAUGGUCUCAGAAAGAUUCACUCUCCCCUCUAUCAUUUAGUGGGUAAAUUGUAAUGAGUCAGAAUUACAGUCUGGAUUCCAAAAGGCCAGAAACCCAUGUCCCAACUAUUCAUUAGUUGGAAUGCAAAACAUAAGGAGUAAGACACACUUCCUCAUGGACCCAUCCUAUUUGAUCAGGGGUGGCUUCAAAGCCCAAAUCCUCGGAUUUAGUCUUGGGAGUUAACCUGGCCUUUCUUCCCUCACUCCCCAGUACACCACCAGGGGGCCCUGGGACACUUACAGUUUCUCAUAAUGACCAGUGAAUAAACUGUGCCAAGGCACGCUUUGGUAUGGCUGCCACUUCAGAGAAGGAGAACACUGGUCGACAGGCGUCAUGUUCUGUCCCUCUCUGUCGUAGUCUUGCACUUCGCUGCUGAAACUCCUACUUGUCACUGCAAAGAAAUCGGUGUGUUAGAUCCUUCCUCCAAGGCUGUUUUUCCUAGACUCACAGACAGUUGCAUGGAGCAAUUGAACUGGCCACGUAUGACGUCCUCAGUAGCGUCUCCCCACUUCCAGUCAAUGUGUUUCCAGUGAAGUCCACUCCAGCCAGAGGAGGGCACGGGGACCCAGGCUGGAUCAGUUCAAGCACAGCAUUCGCUACUCGCAUCAACAAUUGCAUCAGGUUGACUCAUGGCCCAAUCCAAUCCAAGCAGAGUGAAUCUCAGCACUUCAGGGGACACAGGUUCAAAGAUGCUGACUCUCUGCCACGAGCUUUAAACCCGUGAGAUACAUCCCCAAGGGUUGCUGGCACCACUUGGGGACAUGAAGGAAAAGCCUGUCUGGAAAUGAAGCCCGCACAGCAGAAGGCAGAGUUGAGGAUGAAGGGCACCCCAUUCUGAUGGCAUGAUUUGAGUUCUGGGAUCCAAUUCUAAACAGGACAGGAGCCAAUAAAUCCUCCAAUUUCGUUUUUU